GGCGGUAUUUAUUCUUUUUAGAGGAACCUGCCCUGUGAAAGAUUUUACACUAUAUUUAAUCUUUUUUUAGCUUAUAUAUCGUUGUCUUUUCAGAAUUAAUAUUAAAUCUUUUUUCGUUUUUCUUAAAAGAAAAAAAUCAAAUCAAGGUGUAGUUUGAAAAAGUAGAGGUGGGUUACAUUUAUUUUAAUAGUUUGGUUUAAUGUUGAGUUAAUAAAGUGGAUUUAAAAGUAAUUUUUAGUAAUAUAAAUUGAACUUAGACGCUAAAG
rnacentral:rRNA from 1 species